rnacentral:rRNA from 1 species
CUUUUAUUUGGGAAGAAGGAGUGCGGCAAAUACCCUGCAUGACGGACGGUACCGGAUGAAUAAGCACCGGCUAACUACGUGC